rnacentral:lncRNA from 1 species
GAUGACUUCCAUCAGUAAUGCUAUGGACCCAGAGAAGAAGCAAAAGUGUCCAAGACACUAUGAAAUGCAGCUCACUCUGCCAUUUCCCAUCGGAAAUAAGGUGAGGAUGCUGUACCAAGGAUACCUGGUUCAGUGAGUAAUGGAGAGGAUUCAAUCCCAGGAAUAACUGCAGAGACUCAUCAGCAACAUGACCUCAGUAAUGCUCUGUCAUAUGGAUGCUCUAUAGGUCCCUUCACCAACUUCAUAUUUUUGACUGAUUAUAUUUUUUCUAACUAUAUGACAAUAUAUCCUGUGUCUCUACCAAGGAGUAGAAAGCUUAAGAAGGAAAAAAAAAAGUUUUUCUUCCAUUUUUGAAUCUAGAGGGGGCUGCUCCAUAAUAAUAAACUGCUGUAAGAUCCUGGCUUGUCCUGUCA